GGCGCACGGGUGAGUAACGCGUAUCCAACCUUCCCCCUACCCGGGUAUAGCCCGCCGAAAGGCGGAUUAAUCCCCGAUACGUCCCCUGACGGCAUCAGGCGGGGACGAAAGGUAUUCCGGUAAGGGAUGGGGAUGCGUCCGAUUAGCUUGUUGGCGGGGUAACGGCCCACCAAGGCAACGAUCGGUAGGGGUUCUGAGAGGAAGGUCCCCCACAUUGGAACUGAGACACGGUCCAAACUCCUACGGGAGGCAGCAGUGAGGAAUAUUGGUCAAUGGGCGGAAGCCUGAACCAGCCAAGUAGCGUGCAGGAUGACGGCCCUACGGGUUGUAAACUGCUUUUUUGCGGGAAUAAAGCGGCUCACGCGUGGGCCUUUGCAUGUACCGCACGAAUAAGGACCGGCUAAUUCCGUGCCAGCAGCCGCGGUAAUACGGAAGGUCCGGGCGUUAUCCGGAUUUAUUGGGUUUAAAGGGAGCGUAGGCCGCCUUUUAAGCGUGCUGUGAAAUACCGUUGCCCAACAACGGGGCUGCAGCGCGAACUGGAGGGCUUGAGUUCACGGGAAGCCGGCGGAAUUCGUCGUGUAGCGGUGAAAUGCUUAGAUAUGACGAAGAACUCCGAUUGCGAAGGCAGCCGGCUGUAGUGUUACUGACGCUGAAGCUCGAAAGUGCGGGUAUCGAACAGGAUUAGAUACCCUGGUAGUCCGCACGGUAAACGAUGGACGCCCGCUGUGCGCCCUUUAGGGUGCGCGGCCUAGCGAAAGCGUUAAGCGUCCCACCUGGGGAGUACGCCGGCAACGGUGCAACUCAAAUGAAUUGACGGA
rnacentral:rRNA from 1 species